rnacentral:lncRNA from 1 species
UCCUGUCUCUAGUAGUCCUAACAGCCCAACAACAUGGAGAUUUGCUCAGCCGUCCAGGGGAAGACAUUUGAAUUCAGUCACGUAGGAACAACUUGCUUAAAGGACUUUAUGGCUGACUCCAUAAAGAAUGUUCACUAGCAAUUGAGCCAUCACAGAUGUGCUGAUGAAGACUUUUCUGGAAACCAGAUUUGGAGAAAUCUGAACCGUGGCAGUUAAGCAUUAAAGGAGCAUAUUAUUAAGGGAACCAGUGGUUACUCUACUAACAAAAUAAAAUCUCUUUCUUCAGAUAAAGAAAGUUAUAU